rnacentral:tRNA from 1 species
GGGGUUGUGGCUCAAUGGUAGAGCGCUUGCCUAGCAUGUGCAAGGGCCUGGGUUCGAUCCUCAGCACCACA